GUUGAUCAAAUGACUGACCUCAAUGCAACGAUAUCGUCAACCUCCUCUGCUGAAAGGUCAAGAUUUUCCGUAGACUCACAGGGUUUUUUCAUACAGCGUGCGCGAUCAUUUUUAGAGAAACGGUAUCAGAAAUACAUAGAAAGAACAGUGUACAAUAAUCUACAGCAAGCUCAGCUUGGAGGUGUUCCAGGUGUUUUCUUUUUAGUAAAGAGUUUUUUAAAGAUACGACCGAUGGUUUCCAUCUCGCACGAACUUGAGCUCAAAUUUGAGAAGUAUAGAGAGUAAAAAGCUUUAGCCUGGUCGCCCUUCCUGUGAUGUUAUCUCAAUCUCGCCGAGUGGAUUCGUUAAGGCGACAGAAAGGAAUGAAACUCUGAAAUUACCGUCCAUAUCUUCAAAAAUGUCAUCGACCGGCGUUCAAGAAGACUUUCAUCUCGGCGAACAAGUACAAAAACAGUUUUCAAGACAGUUUGAUGUUAAAGAAAUUCUCAAACUUUCCACUCCGUUCGCAAUGAGUGUCAGCAAGAACACGAUAAAUAACUCUGAAACGAGUCUUGUAUCCAAGACAAGUGAUGACGACAGAAACAAGGAGAAAAUGAAAAUGUUUGA